rnacentral:rRNA from 1 species
ACGUAAACGAUAUUGUGCAGGAGAGUAAGAUGCCAUCCUAUCAGUUAGUAAGUAGGGUAAGGGCCUACUUAGACGAAGACGGGUACGGGGAAUGAGGGUUUGAUUCCGGAGAGGGAGCCUGAGAGAUGGCUACCAGGACCAAGGUCAGCAGCAGGCGCGAAAAUUAUCGAAGCCCGCCUAGGGGCGAUAGUGAGGAGACGUGUAUAACGAAGUACGUGUAAAGAACGUGCUAAUAACUGGAGGUCAAGUCUGGUGCCAGCAUCCGCGGUAAUUCCAGCUCCAGGGGUGUCUAUGAUGAUUGCUGCGAUUAAAAAGUCCGUAGUCAAUCUGACUGACUGGCCUGCAAUGUGAUUGAUUAAAGAACGAGCAGGGUUAGGAAAGCAGAGAAUCAGGAGCGACCGAGGGCUAGAGUAUUGAAUGGCGAGAGGUGAAAUUUGAUGACCCAUUCAGGAGUGACAAAGGCGAAGGCACUAGUCAAGGGCGAAUCCGAUGAUCAAGGACGUAGGCUAGAGUUUCGAAAACGAUUAGAGACCGGAGUAGUUCUAGCAGUAAACUAUGCCGACGCCGUGGUAUCAUUUUGGUAUUGCGGAAGAGAAAUCAAGUAAGGCUUUGGGGAGAGUACGCGCGCAAGCGAUAAAUUUAAAGGAAAUUGACGGAGGAACACCACAAGGAGUGGAGUGUGCGGCUUAAUUUGACUCAACGCGGGACAGCUUACCAGGCCCGAUAAUCGAGCGAGCGUAGUACGCGAUAGGUUAAAGAGUGGUGCAUGGCUGCUAUCGACAGUUGGGGUGACCUUAGGGUUAAUUCCGGCAAGUAGUGAGACCCCUGCAGAUAGUGGACAGGUAUUUUUAAAAUACAGGAAGGAAGGGACAAGAGCAGGUCAGUGAUGCCCUUAGAUGGCCUGGGCUGCACGCGCACUACAGUGGUCAUUAUAAGUAGAAGUUAGAUAUAAAGAUGAUCGAGAGGGACUGAGCUUUGUAAGAGGCU